rnacentral:misc_RNA from 1 species
UCCCUGUUACCAGGGCAGUCUAGCUAGAGUAUUCAACUAACUAUAAGGGUUGCGCUCGUUGAUGGACUUAACCAAACAUCUCACGACACGAGCUGACGACGGCCAUGCAUCACCUGUCACUGUGCUCCAAAAGGCACGCUCUGCUUUCGCAGAACUUCACAGGAUGUCAAGCCUUGGUAAGGUUCUUCGCUUAUCAUCGAAUUAAACAACACGCUCCACCGCUUGUGCGGGUCCCCGUCAAUUCCUUUAUGUUUUAGUCUUGCGACCGUACUCCACAGGCGGGAUGCUUAACGCGUUAGCUGCGCUACUAGAAGGGUCGAUACUUCUAACAGCUAGCAUCCAUCGUUUACGGCGUGGACUAC